rnacentral:rRNA from 1 species
ACUCCUACGGGAGGCAGCAGUGGGAAUAUUGCACAAUGGGGGAAACCCUGAUGCAGCAACGCCGCGUGGAGGAUGACACAUUUCGGUGCGUAAACUCCUUUUAUAUAGGAAGAUAAUGACGGUACUAUAUGAAUAAGCGCCGGCUAAACUCCGUGCCAGCAGCCGCGGUAAUACGGAGGGCGCAAGCGUUACUCGGAAUCACUGGGCGUAAAGAGCGUGUAGGCGGAUCGAUAAGUCAGGAGUGAAAUCCUAUGGCUCAACCAUAGAACUGCUCUUGAAACUGUCAAUCUAGAGUAUGGGAGAGGUAGAUGGAAUUUCUGUGUAGGGGUAAAAUCCGUAGAGAUCAGAAGGAAUACCGAUUGCGAAGGCGAUCUACUGGAACAUAACUGACGCUGAGACGCGAAAGCGUGGGAGCAAACAGGAUUAGAUACCCUGGUAGGUCAGU